ACAAAUUGGAUGAAAUUGUCGAAGAUUUUAAAGGUAUUGUCUCAUCCUGAAAUGUAGGUCGCAUGUGUGAGGGUUGUUGUCUCGUGCAUAAAUCUAGUGUAGAAAAUAAUUCAAAAUUAGAUUUAUAGAUGACUUGCCUUGUUUACGUUUUGCUAGCAGGCAGAUUUGGUCGAGCGCUUUUAGAGAAUACCAACAGCAAUAACGUAAUUUCAUUGACGUUUUGCUUCUUAUAUUUUUAAAGCUAAUCAAGUCGACGGUGAGGAUUUUUUCAAUUUAGAACCACAUGAUAUUUAUCAGAUGAUUCCUCGAAUAAAACUUCACAAGAAGUUUACGUGUAUUUGAAAUGACGUUACUCAAAAGCUGAAAGCAGAGUUAGGAUGUAUUUUGGAGAAAAGUGAUGUUGUGCAAGACAUGAAGGAACAAUGGAAUUUGCACAAAUAUAAAAUGCUGUCUGUUAUUAAAAAGACAAAGCAAAAGAAUGUCAGCAGUAUCCUUGAAGAGCUGGAGGAUUGUCCAGUGUAAGAUGAGAAAGGUUGGUGUAAAAAUCAAUAAGUUAAAAUCCCUAUUUAUACUGAAGUGUUAAUGCUUUAGAGAGUGAUAAUGGUAAUAUAUUCAUUCUAUGCUAUGUUGAUUAUUUUAGAGGUCAAGAACCGGUGUAUAAUGGCAUAUUUCCCUUAAGUGUUAGAUGACCAAUGCACCCAUCGAGAUAUGAACAAAAAGCUAUUUUGGGACAUUGUUGAUGGUAAAAGCUUGGGGGAAGUUCAAGAGAUCAUUAACAAAAGUUCGUCUCCUAGACUCCUAUCAACAGGAACAUUAAGAAACAUUCAUUCAAUAAUGUUGGUGGCUGAGGGGAUGAUUGUGGCAAAGCUGAAAAUGGAAAAUAUUGUCAAUGCAGUUAUUAUUUUACUUAGUUCUUUUUAUACUUUUAAUGCUGAGUAUCCUAAAGGCGUUAAUGGACAUUGCAAAAAUGUAUUUAUUCUUUUAGAACAUUUGCUUUUAAAUUCAAAAUGCAAUUGUAAGGCUCAAUUGCCAACUUUUGUCGAUCAUUUUAUUUCUUCUAUGAAGUAGAAAACUUUUGUAGUGUUAAUUAAUGGCAUGUAGUAGAGAUUUUAAGUAUUCUGUGUUUACAGAAAAUGUGCUAUUUAUAAUUGUGUGAUUGAUUUUCUUUAGCUUAGUUAAAAAUAUCCUCUAUAUUGGUCAAAUGGUCAUGGAUAUGCACCUGAAAAAAAUGCUUAUUUAAUGGUAAAAACAAACAAAUAAAAUUGGUAAAUUUAACCAUUUUUGUUUUUGGUAUUUUUGACCAAUUUAGGAAUUGGUUGUUUUGACCUGUAAAAAUUGUUCUUCUCAGGUGAAUUCAAAUGACCAAUUUUUUUGUCAUUUUGACCAAUCUAUUUUUACUGUGUAGAACAUUGGAUUCCAGGAUUAGAAAAUUACUUGAUCAUAAAACUAAAUGGCAUUUUCAAAUCUUGAAAAAGUUUGACGUAAAAUAAUAUUAAAUAUAUAAUUUUAUUUUAACUAUGUUGAUUAAAUCUACUUCAUUCAGUAGCUAAAUAAUUGCAGGCUACCAACAUGUA